ACGGCCACACCUUGGCGAAAACACCAGUUCCCGUCCGAUCACUGCAGUUAAGCGUCUGAGGGUCUCGUUAGUACUAUGGUUGGAGACAACAUGGGAAUCCGGGAUGCUGUAGGCU